rnacentral:rRNA from 1 species
AUUGAACGCUGGCGGAAUGCUUUACACAUGCAAGUCGAACGGUAGAGGGGGCAACCCCCUUGAGAGUGGCGAACGGGUGAGUAAUAUAUCGGAACGUGCCCAGUCGUGGGGAUAACGUAGCGAAAGUUACGCUAAUACCGCAUACGAUCUACGGAUGAAAGCGGGGGACUCGCAAGAGCCUCGCGCGAUUGGAGCGGCCGAUAUCAGAUUAGGUAGUUGGUGGGGUAAAGGCUCACCAAGCCAACGAUCUGUAGCUGGUCUGAGAGGACGACCAGCCACACUGGAACUGAGACACGGUCCAGACUCCUACGGGAGGCAGCAGUGGGGAAUUUUGGACAAUGGACGCAAGUCUGAUCCAGCCAUUCCGCGUGCAGGAUGAAGGCCCUCGGGUUGUAAACUGCUUUU